rnacentral:rRNA from 1 species
UACGUAGGGUGCGAGCGUUAAUCGGAAUUACUGGGCGUAAAGCGUGCGCAGGCGGUUAUAUAAGACAGUUGUGAAAUCCCCGGGCUCAACCUGGGAAUUGCAUCUGUGACUGUAUAGCUAGAGUACGGUAGAGGGGGAUGGAAUUCCGCGUGUAGCAGUGAAAUGCGUAGAUAUGCGGAGGAACACCGAUGGCGAAGGCAAUCCCCUGGACCUGUACUGACGCUCAUGCACGAAAGCGUGGGGACAAACAGG